GUAGGAGCCGGCUUGCUGGCGAUAGCGGUUUGUCAGUCAACAUUUUUGUCGAUUGAUACGCCGCCAUCGCCAGCAAGCCGGCUCCUGC
rnacentral:misc_RNA from 1 species